rnacentral:rRNA from 1 species
UGGGGAAUAUUGCACAAUGGGCGCAAGCCUGAUGCAGCCAUGCCGCGUGUAUGAAGAAGGCCUUCGGGUUGUAAAGUACUUUCAGCGGGGAGGAAGGGAGUAAAGUUAAUACCUUUGCUCAUUGACGUUACCCGCAGAAGAAGCACCGGCUAACUCCGUGCCAGCAGCCGCGGUAAUACGGAGGGUGCAAGCGUUAAUCGGAAUUACUGGGCGUAAAGCGCACGCAGGCGGUUUGUUAAGUCAGAUGUGAAAUCCUCGGGCUCAACCUGGGAACUGCAUCUGAUACUGGCAAGCUUGAGUCUCGUAGAGGGGGGUAGAAUUCCAGGUGUAGCGGUGAAAUGCGUAGAGAUCUGGAGGAGUACCGGUGGCGAAGGCGGCCCCCUGGACGAAGACUGACGCUCAGGUGCGAAAGCGUGGGGAGCAAACAGG